UAGGGAAUCUUCGGCAAUGGACGAAAGUCUGACCGAGCAACGCCGCGUGAGUGAAGAAGGUUUUCGGAUCGUAAAACUCUGUUGUUAGAGAAGAACAAGGACGUUAGUAACUGAACGUCCCCUGACGGUAUCUAACCAGAAAGCCACGGCUAACUACGUGCCAGCAGCCGCGGUAAUACGUAAGUGGCAAGCGUUGUCCGGAUUUAUUGGGCGUAAAGCGAGCGCAGGCGGUUUCUUAAGUCUGAUGUGAAAGCCCCCGGCUCAACCGGGGAGGGUCAUUGGAAACUGGGAGACUUGAGUGCUGAAGAGGAGAGUGGAAUUCCAUGUGUAGCGGUGAAAUGCGUAGAUAUAUGGAGGAACACCAGUGGCGAAGGCGGCUCUCUGGUCUGUAACUGACGCUGAGGCUCGAAAGCGUGGGGAGCAAACAGG
rnacentral:rRNA from 1 species